rnacentral:rRNA from 1 species
GUUGACCUCGGAUCAGGUAGGGAUACCCGCUGAACUUAAGCAUAUCAAUAAGCGGAGGAAAAGAAACCAACAGGGAUUGCCUCAGUAACGGCGAGUGAAGCGGCAACAGCUCAAAUUUGAAAUCUGGCUCUCUUCGGGGCCCGAGUUGUAAUUUGUAGAGGAUGCUUCGGGUACGGCUCCGGUCUAAGUUCCUUGGAACAGGACGUCGCAGAGGGUGAGAAUCCCGUACGUGACCGGCCGCCACGCCCGUGUGAAGCUCCUUCGAUGAGUCGAGUUGUUUGGGAAUGCAGCUCAAAAUGGGUGGUAUAUUUCAUCUAAAGCUAAAUACCGGCCAGAGACCGAUAGCGCACAAGUAGAGUGAUCGAAAGAUGAAAAGCACUUUGAAAAGAGAGUCAAACAGUACGUGAAAUUGUUGAAAGGGAAGCGCUUGCAAUCAGACGUGGCCGCGGGCGAUCAACCGGUACUCGUACCGGUGCACUCGCCCGUGGUCAGGCCAGCAUCGGUUUGGGCGGCUGGAUAAAGUCCCCCGGAAUGUGGCUCCUUUCGGGGAGUGUUAUAGCCGGGGGCGUCAUGCAGCCCGCCCGGACCGAGGACCGCGCUUUGGCUAGGAUGCUGGCGUAAUGGUUGUAAGCGACCCGUCUUGAAACACGGACCAAGGAGUCUAACAUCUAUGCGAGUGUUUGGGUGUCAAACCCAUGCGCGCAAUGAAAGUGAACGGAGGUGGGAACCUCUUCGGGGGUGCACCAUCGACCGAUCCUGAUGUCUUCGGAUGGAUUUGAGUAUGAGCAUAGCUGUUGGGACCCGAAAGAUGGUGAACUAUGCCUGAAUAGGGUGAAGCCAGAGGAAACUCUGGUGGAGGCUCGCAGCGGUUCUGACGUGCAAAUCGAUCGUCAAAUUUGGGUAUAGGACUAAUCGAACCAUAGUAGCUGGUUCUUGCCGAAGUUUCCCUCAGGAUAGCAGUAACGUUUUCAGUUUUAUGAGGUAAAGCGAAUGAUUAGAGUCCUUGGGGCCUUAAAGGCCUUAAACUAUUCUCAAACUUUAAAUAUGUAAGAAGUCCUUGUUACUUUGUUGAACGUGGACAUUUGAAUGCACCGUUACUAGUGGCC